AAAAAAUUAUUAGAAAGAAAGACUUGAUGAAUCAACUGGCCAGUACUCAAUUGAAUUAUGCCAAUUCUCUGAAUUCUGAAUACCUUUCUCAGAACAUGCUAUUCAAAAAGACUUGGACAUAAUUGCUAGAGAUGAAGAAAUUUUCUGGAUUCAACGCGCUGGAUCAAACUGGAUCAAUUUUGGAGAUCGUAAUUCCAAACACUUCCAGACUCAAGCUCUCAUCCGGAAAAAUCAUGCCAUUUUUCAGAUUGGAGCUCUUAAAGCCCCAGGACCAGAUGGUAUUCAUGCUAAGUUCUAUCAUACUUUUUGGAAUGAGAAACGCAGAAAGACUCAAUACAUGGCUCUGAAAAUUGAUCUUGAGGAGAAAGCCUACGAUUUUAUGAAUUGGAACUAUGUUCAGAAUUGUUUGUUAGCUUUUGGUUUUCAUCCCAAUUGGAUGAAUCUAAUAGUUAACUGUAUCUCCUCAGUUUCUUUCUCUAUUCUUGUCAAGGGUAAGCCUACUGAGCAUUUUACUCCUCUUCGUGGCCUCUGACAGGAAGAUCCUCUCUCUCCCUACUUGUUUAUUCUUUGUCUUGAACCCUUAGUUAAACACCUUAAUAAGGCUGCUUACAAUUCUUUUUCUCAAAUAGGCAUUUUACCUUCUCCUAGGAGUACUAGGAUCUCCAAUUUAUUCUUUGCUGAUGACUGUCUCCUUUUUUCCAAAGCAACCUCGCUAGCUGCUAAAAAACUGAAUACUAUUCUCAAUAACUUUUCCCUUGCUUCUGGCCAGCAAAUAAAAUUUUCUAAAUCAACUGCCUAUUUUUCUGCUAAUGUUCCUAAUUGCUCUAGGAAUAUACUUGGUCAAAUUUUGAAUAUUCCUCAUAAAGCUUGUAUUGGCCGCUAUUUAGGAAUUAAUAACAUUAUUCUCUGGAAAGAUCCCUUAAAUGCAAAAGACAUUGUUCUAAAGACUCAGAAAAAGCUUGCUGGUUGGAAAGCAAAUUGUCUGUCUAGAGCUGGCAGUUUGAUUCUCCUUAAGUAAUAUUUUUGGUAUGCCUAAUCAUCUUUUUUCUUGCUUUAAAUGUCCUCCCUCUCUUACGAAACAGCUAGAUGCUUGUGCUAGAAAUUUUUUCUGGGGUUCUCCUAAUUCCCAUCCUGUUGCUUGGUCUGCUGUUUGUUCUUCUAAAUCGAAAGG